rnacentral:tRNA from 1 species
GUAGAUAUAGUUUAACUAAAACAUUAGAUUGUGAAUCUAACUACAGAGGCUUACCACCUCUUAUUUACC